CUUUUAUUGUUAUAUUGUUUUUAUUGUAUUUUGUGAUUGUGCAAUUAUUAUUUGUAAAGACACAAUAUUGACAAUAAUUGAACAAAAAAAUGUACUGAAAAAUAUAAUGCACUAUGACAAUAACUGAUAGUCAAGUUUUAAUAAAUCAACAGAUAAAAUGGUAAUUCAAAAACUGAAAAACGUACCAGGAUGUGGUCCAAUUUCUUGGGCUAUAUACCCAUCCACCCUAUGACCAGCAGGCCUUAAAAAUGUAAAUAUUCGAGUAGGGCUCAUAUCUGUAGCAAGUUCCUGAAGGAAGUUCCUAAUUGCAUCAGAGUUCUGUAUUCUUGCUCUAGUUGGUAAAUAAAUCCAUGAGAAGUAGUUGUAUAACGGAAUAUGGUAAAUUAUGCUAUUAUAGAUACACCUACAUUUAAAUUGUUCUUAGCCUGACGAAAUUCAAUAUACUGCUGGUUUUCCAGAAAUUGUAACUGAACUGUAAUAAAUUAAACUGCUGGUCCCAUUGUUAUGAACCAAUAUCCCCAAAUGUAAUUGAACAUAAAUGGGUUUAAUUGCAAUGCCAAAUAUGGGAAUUGGUUUACAUACUCAACAAUGCUAUGAAACCCAUCCUCCAUUGAAGGCAAAACAUCACCAAUUUGUGUAGCUGUGGAAGGUAUUUGCUAUUUACUUGACAGUAAUGAAAGUAACACCCUUGGUGUUUACUUUCCGGAAAAACUAAAUUGACUGCAUUGAUUAGCCCUAGCUCAAAAUCAGUAAUAAUUUUUAGCUGAUCAUAACAUAAUG